AAUCAACGCUGGCGGCGUGCCUAACACAUGCAAGUCGCACGAGAAAGGGGAGCAAUCCCUGAGUAAAGUGGCGCACGGGUGAGUAACACGUGAAUCAUCUACCUCCGAGUGGGGAAUAACUGAGAGAAAUCUUAGCUAAUACCGCAUAACACUUACGAGUCAAAGCAGCAAUGCGCUUGGAGAGGAGUUCGCGGCCGAUUAGUUAGUUGGCGGGGUAAGUGGCCCGACCAA
rnacentral:rRNA from 1 species